AUUGAACGCUGGCGGCAGGCCUAACACAUGCAAGUCGAGCGGAUGAAGGGAGCUUUCUCCUGUAUUCAGCUGCGGACGGGUGAGUAAUUCCUAGGAAUCUGCCUGGUAUUUGGGGAUAACGUCCGUAAACGGGCGCUAAUACCGCAUACGUCCUUAUGGUGAAAGUGGUGGAUCUUCGGACCUCACGCUAUCUGAUGAGCCUAGGUCGGAUUAGCUAGUUGGUGGGGUAAAGGCCUACCAAGGCGACGAUCCGUAACUGGUCUGAGAGGAUGAUCAGUCACACUGGAACUGAGACACGGUCCAGACUCCUACGGGAGGCAGCAGUGGGGAAUAUUGGACAAAGGGCGAAAGCCUGAUCCAGCCAUGCCGCGUGUGUGAAGAAGGUCUUCGGAUUGUAAAGCACUUUAAGUUGGGAGGAAGGGAAGUAAGUUAAUACCUUGAUGUUUUGACGUUACCAACAGAAUAAGCACCGGCUAACUUCGUG
rnacentral:rRNA from 1 species